UUCUAGUAUUUAAUUUAGCCCCAGAUUUCAUUUCAGUAGGCGAUGGGCCUCCACUGAAAGUUUCGAUAAGAUCAAACUAUUAACAUGAACCUACUCAGUGAUUCUACCUAAUGAGUGAUUAGACUUGAGGAUGGCUCGAUCAAUCUAACCAUCAUCAGAUAGUUCAUCAGAGUCAUCAUAUGAUGAAUGAUAAUUCGAUCAUUCAGAGAGAACAUCAGACGGAUGGCGCCUGCAAUGUCAAUCAGAAAUAAUAGAUCCAUUAUCACUCACCUUAAUGAGAGACUAUGAUCUAGAUAUCACC
rnacentral:lncRNA from 1 species